rnacentral:lncRNA from 1 species
AAAAAAAAAAAACUUAUAUAAACCCUGUUAUUUUACCUUUCGGAUACAUAAAUGAAUAACUGAAUAAUAUCUAUGGUUUCUCUGCAAUGAUCUUGAGCUGAUAUUCAGUAUUUACAAAUAUUUGCUUUGCGUUAUAGUUAAUAGGUCUAUCCAAAUAAUAUAGCAUAAGAUGGACCUAAGCCAGGGAAGCAUGAACAGAAAAGCAUGAAGUUUUAAAAAUGUUUAUGUACUAGUCAACAAAAGAAAUGAUACACAGCUUUGGAAUAAAAUCUAUCAAAAAAUAUUAAAUAUAGAACAAAAUGAGAUACACAAUUUUAAAAAGCGUUCAUUUGCGAUGUAUGCACAUAUGAUAAUGAAAAUUAAAACCUCUCGGAAAGUAACUAAAUUCCGUGUAAACGAUCAUAGGGUGCAUAUUAUUUUUGCGGAAAGUUGGAAAAAAAAUCGACGCAC